UACGUAGGGUGCGAGCGUUAAUCGGAAUUACUGGGCGUAAAGCGUGCGCAGGCGGUUUUGUAAGCCAGAUGUGAAAUCCCCGGGCUCAACCUGGGAAUGGCAUUUGGGACUGCAAGGCUGGAGUUUGGCAGAGGAGACUGGAAUUCCUGGUGUAGCAGUGAAAUGCGUAGAUAUCAGGAGGAAUACCGAUGGCGAAGGCAGGUCUCUGGGCUAUAACUGACGCUCAUGCACGAA
rnacentral:rRNA from 1 species